rnacentral:snoRNA from 1 species
UGCAAAUGAUGAUAACUUGCUGUCUAAUACACGUGAGGACAACCACCAAGAUCGCUGAUGCA